GACGAACGCUGGCGGCGUGCUUAACACAUGCAAGUCGAACGGAAAGGCCUGCUUUCCCUUGUGGAUUGCGGGUACUCGAGUGGCGAACGGGGGAGUAACACGUGAGUGAUCUGCCCCCAACUUGGGUAUAAGCCUGGGAAACUGGGACUAAUUCCCGAUCGGACUGCAGGGUGGUGCCUGUGGUGGAAAACGAUUUUCUAGUGGUUGGGGAUGAGCUCGCGGCCUAUCAGCUUGUUGGUGGGGUAAUGGACUACCAAGGCGGCGACGGGUAGCCGGCCUGGGAGGGUGGACGGCCGCAUUGGGACUGAGAUACGGCCCAGACUGCUACGGGAGGCAGCAGUGGGGAAUAUUGCACCAUGGGCGGAAGCCUGCUGCAGCGACGCCGCGUGGGGGAUGACGGCCUUCGGGUUGUAAACUCCUUUCGACCGCGAGGAAGCCACCUGGUUGGAAGGGUGGUGACGGUAGUGGUAGAAGAAGCACCGGCUAACUACGUG
rnacentral:rRNA from 1 species